UUCAUAAUCAAUUUCAUUAUCAUAGGAAUCAACAAAACCUACUUCUUUCUUUUUCCGAAACUUAGAAUUUCUAGCUUUUUCAGCUUUUAACCUUUCGAUUUGUCUCACCCUGUCAGCCAACUGUGACAUGUCUCGAAGGUAUUGGGUAUCCAAUUUCUUUCGAAUCGAAUAAUCUAACCCACCAGCAGCCAUUUCCACUAGCUCGUGUUCAGGUACUUGAGUAAAGCACCUGGACUUCAGCAAACGAAACCUAUUUAAAUAGUCAUCAAUUGACUCUUGG
rnacentral:lncRNA from 1 species